rnacentral:rRNA from 1 species
AUUACCGCGGCUGCUGGCACGUAGUUAGCCGGUGCUUCUUCUUCAGGUACCGUCAUUAGCAAGCUAUGUUAGAGCCCGCCGUUUCGUUCCUGCCAAAAGCGGUUUACAACCCGAAGGCCUUCUUCACUCACGCGGCAUGGCUGGAUCAGGCUUUCGCCCAUUGUCCAAAAUUCCCCACUGCUGCCUCCCGUAGG